rnacentral:rRNA from 1 species
UGGGGAAUUUUGGACAAUGGGCGAAAGCCUGAUCCAGCAAUGCCGUGUGUGAUGAAGCAGCUUCGGGUUGUAAAGCACUUUUGUCCGGAAAGAAAUCCUUGGCUCUAAUACAGUCGGGGGAUGACGGUACCGGAAGAAUAAGCACCGGCUAACUACGUGCCAGCAGCCGCGGUAAUACGUAGGGUGCAAGCGUUAAUCGGAAUUACUGGGCGUAAAGCGUGCGCAGGCGGUUUGCUAAGACCGAUGUGAAAUCCCCGGGCUCAACCUGGGAACUGCAUUGGUGACUGGCAGGCUAGAGUAUGGCAGAGGGGGGUAGAAUUCCACGUGUAGCAGUGAAAUGCGUAGAGAUGUGGAGGAAUACCGAUGGCGAAGGCAGCCCCCUGGGCCAAUACUGACGCUCAUGCACGAAAGCGUGGGGAGCAAACAGGAUUAGAUACCCUGGUAGUCCACGCUCUAAAACGAUGUCAACUAGUUGUUGGGGAUUCAUUUUCCUUAGUAACGUAGCUAACGCGUGAAGUUGACCGCCUGGGGAGUACGGUCGCAAAGAUUAAAACUUAAAGGAAUUGACGGGGUCAUA